CCCUUAGAUGUUCUGGGCCGCACGCGUGCUACACUGAACGGUUCAAUGGGUGAGGUAGUGCGAAAGCAUGACCCAAUCUCAAAAUCCGUUCGUGCUGGGGAUAGAAGCUUGCAAUUCUCCUUCUUGAACGAGGAAUACCUUGUAAGCGCGAGUCAUCAUCUCGCGCUGAAUACGUCCCUGCCCUUUGUACACACCGCCCGUCGCUCCUACCGAUUGAGUGGUCCGGUGAGGCUUCGGGAGAGCUAAAUGGAUUGUGUUUCACAAACUAUUCGGCUUGAACUUAGUCAAACCUUACUACUUAGAGGAAGGAGAAGUCGUAACA
rnacentral:rRNA from 1 species